rnacentral:rRNA from 1 species
AUUGAACGCUGGCGGCAGGCUUAACACAUGCAAGUCGAGCGGAGAUGAGGUGCUUGCACCUUAUCUUAGCGGCGGACGGGUGAGUAAUGCUUAGGAAUCUGCCUAUUAGUGGGGGACAACAUUCCGAAAGGGAUGCUAAUACCGCAUACGCCCUACGGGGGAAAGCAGGGGAUCUUCGGACCUUGCGCUAAUAGAUGAGCCUAAGUCGGAUUAGCUGGUUGGUGGGGUAAAGGCCUACCAAGGCGACGAUCUGUAGCGGGUCUGAGCGGAUGGUCCGCCACGCUGGGACUGAGACACGGCCCAGACGCCUACGGGAGGCAGCAGUGGGGAAUAUUGGACAAUGGGCGGAAGCCUGAUCCAGCCAUGCCGCGUGUGUGAAGAAGGCCUUUUGGUCGUAAAGCACUUUAAGCGAGGAGGAGGCUACCUGGAUUAAUACUCUAGGAUAGUGGACGUUACUCGCAGAAUAAGCACCGGCUAACUCUGUGCUAGCCGCCGCGGUAACAC